GGGGUGAUGUACUGGACGGAUAGUGCCUCUGUCAUGAGGUCCCCGAUGGUUGGUGAGCCCAUGCUGAUGGGCCUGAGGAUAGUCGAGCAGGAGGAGGGCCUUCGCAGCUCCGCCUCCUUCUUUUUCGAAACAAGGGUUCAUCCCUAUUUCAGAUUAUUUUUUUGAUUUUAACACAAGAAGUCGACAACCCAAUUACUGUCUUCAC
rnacentral:lncRNA from 1 species